UGUAGUGCAAUGGAUAGUGUGUUGGGCUUCUAAUCCAAUGGUCGUGGGUUCGAAUCCCACCUGAAAAG
rnacentral:tRNA from 1 species